UACGUAGGGGUCGAGCGUUGUCCGGAGUUACUGGGCGUAAAGCGUGUGCAGGCGGCUCAUUGCGCCCGGCGUGAAAGCCCCCGGCUCAACCGGGGAGAGUCGUCGGGGACGGGUGAGCUUGAGGGUAUCAGGGGCUGGUGGAAUUCCUGGUGUAGCGGUGAAAUGCGCAGAUAUCAGGAGGAACACCGGUGGCGAAGGCGGGUCUCUGGGCCGAUAUUGACGCUGAGGAGCGAAAAGCGUGGGGAGCAAACAGG
rnacentral:rRNA from 1 species